rnacentral:tRNA from 1 species
GAGGGUAUAGCUCAACUGGUGGAGUGCGUGCUUGGUGUGCAUGAGGCCCUGGGUUCAAUCCCCUGUACCUCCA